UAGGGGAUCUUCCGCAAUGGACGCAAGUCUGACGGAGCAACGCCGCGUGAGUGAAGAAGGAUUUCGGUUAGUAAAACUCUGUUGUUAGAGAAGAACAGCGCAUAGAGUAACUGUUAUGCGUGUGACGGUAUCUAACCAGAAAGCCACGGCUAACUACGUGCCAGCAGCCGCGGUAAUACGUAGGUGGCAAGCGUUGUCCGGAUUUAUUGGGCGUAAAGCGAGCGCAGGCGGUCAAUUAAGUCUGAUGUGAAAGCCCCCGGCUCAACCGGGGAGGGUCAUUGGAAACUGGUUGACUUGAGUGCAGAAGGGGAGAGUGGAAUUCCAUGUGUAGCGGUGAAAUGCGUAGAUAUAUGGAGGAACACCGGUGGCGAAAGCGGCUCUCUGGUCUGUAACUGACGCUGAGGCUCGAAAGCGUGGGGAGCGAACAGG
rnacentral:rRNA from 1 species